GCCGGCUAGUGGGGACUAACAGUCUGAUGGCCUGGAGAUAUAAGCUGUUUUUCAGUCUCUCAGUCACAGCUUUGAUGCACCUAUACUGUCUCGGCUGUUUAGAUGGUAGUAGGGUGAACAGGCCGUGGCUCGGGUGCUGUAGAUGUCCCGGAGGACAGACAGUGUCCCCCCGGUGAUGCGUUGGGCUGACCGCACCACACAGCCCUACAGGAUGAUCUCAAUGGUGCGUCUGUAGAAGUUUGUGAUGGUCUUAGGGGCCAAGCCGAAUUUCUUUAGCUUCCUGAGGUUGAAGAGAUGCUGUUGUGGAGGGACCACAACAGCAUCCCGAGCACAGUGAUGUGCACGCCAAAGAACUUGAAGCUUUUCUCCCUCUCCACUGCGGCCCCGUCGAUGUCACAGACCCAGUCUGCAAUCAGAGGGAGAAGUUAGAGGCAGUGGCUGGGGACCCAGAUCAGAUGGACAUUGCACAGCUGUGAAUCCAUUUGCUCCAUGAGGGACCACCAUCCUGUCUGCAGGACAUAGAAGGCUCCGCUCCACAGCUGAUCCAUGGUGGAGGCACUAUCAUGGAGGCCAGCUGCAAUAGCUUGCUUACAAACUUGUU
rnacentral:lncRNA from 1 species